GAAACAGAUGCCCAAGCCACCUCAGCUGACACCUCACAUUGAUAUAUCUGUUUUAAAAUAAUUUAUUUUAUCAUAAAGAUGCCAUCAAGAUGCGACCAAGCAAGAGGAAUGAUGUCAAGAUCUGAAGAGGUACUGCCUGCGUUCCAUUGAACAAAUAGCACCAAAGCGGACCCCAGUUUCUAACUGUGUCAGUAAAACAGAAAAUACUGAAAAUGUCUUUGGCAGAUGAGGUGAAAAGAAAAUUCCCAAACAUACCAGAGCCUGGCAUAAAAGCCUGUAUGGCCCAAAAGCUUAAGGACCUGCGUGUGAAGGAGCGCUCUACCACCAAGAAGUAAAGAAAGG